CGCGGCCUAUCAGCUUGUUGGUGAGGUAAAGGCUCACCAAGGCAUUGACGGGUAGCUGGUCUGAGAGGACGAUCAGCCACACUGGGACUGAGACACGGCCCAGACUCCUGCGGGAGGCAGCAGUGGGGAAUCUUGCGCGAUGGGCGAAAGCCUGACGCAGCAACGCCGCGUGGGGGGUGAAGGCUCUCGGGUUGUAAACCCCUUUCAGCAGGGACGAAAUUGACGGUACCUGUAGAAGAAGCCCCGGCCAACUACGUGCCAGCAGCCGCGGUAACACGUAGGGGGCAAGCGUUGUCCGGAAUUAUUGGGCGUAAAGGGCUCGUGGGCGGUUCGGUACGUCAGAUGUGAAAGGUUGGGGCUCAACCCUAAGACUGCAUUUGAUACUGCCGUGACUGGAGUCCGGUAGAGGAGUGUGGAAUUCCUGGUGUAGCGGUGAAAUGCGCAGAUAUCAGGAGGAACACCGACGGCGAAGGCAGCACUCUGGGCCGGUACUGACGCUGAGGAGCGAAAGCGUGGGUAGCAAACAGGAUUAGAUACCCUGGUGGUCCACGCCGUAAACGUUGGGCACUAGGUGUGGGGCCUUAUCAACGGGUUCCGUGCCGUAGCUAACGCAUUAAGUGCCCCGCCUGGGGAGUACGG
rnacentral:rRNA from 1 species